rnacentral:lncRNA from 1 species
ACUGAGGGGGAAGGAGGAGGAGGUGGCUCUGCACGUGCCUCACGUUGUGGAGACACUGUAGAUGGCUCCGUAGCAUGUCUUUCCUCACGUUGGAUCCGUGAGACUCUUCCGGAUCUCUUGGCUACGGCUCUUUUGGGUCCCAUUUCUCCAAGAUCUUAAGGAAAUCUACUGUUUGGAGAUGUUUGGAGGAAUUUGGAGAGUGAGGAAUAGAAUAUUCAGAAGAGGACAAGGGCAAACAGUGCCCUAAUAGAGCUCUCGGGUCCCCCUUUUAACAGCGGAGUCCCGACGUUGGGUCGACUCAAGAAAUUUCUUGGGUCGACUCAACGUUGGGUCGACCCUAUUCUGGGUUGGGUCGACCCAAGUGCAGAAUUUUUUCUUUUCUCUUCCUUUUUGCUUCUAAAAAUUUUUCUUGCUUCCAAUUCUUAUAAAUUCUUUCUGGGACAAUGAUACAUGAGUAAGGAAUCUAUAGAUGACAAGUUUGACUCAUGUUUCAUGGGUUUUUAGAAAU